rnacentral:rRNA from 1 species
UACGAAGGGGGCUAGCGUUGCUCGGAAUUACUGGGCGUAAAGGGCGCGUAGGCGGAUACUUAAGUCGGGGGUGAAAGCCCAGGGCUCAACCCUGGAAUAGCCUUCGAUACUGGGUAUCUUGAGUACGGGAGAGGUGAGUGGAACUCCGAGUGUAGAGGUGAAAUUCGUAGAUAUUCGGAAGAACACCAGUGGCGAAGGCGACUCACUGGCCCGUUACUGACGCUGAGGCGCGAAAGUGUGGGGAGCAAACAGG